rnacentral:rRNA from 1 species
CUUCUCGGGAACCCAGAACCACAGGUGCUUGCAUGGGCGUGUNNUCAGNUCGGUGUUCGGUGAGAUGNNGGGGGUUAAAGUUCCCGCNACGAGAGCGCAACCCUUGUCCUUAGUUGCCAGCACGGUGAAUGGUGGGGAACUCUUAAGGAGAACUGCCGGUGACAUAACCGGAGGAAGGUGGGGAUGACGUCAAAGGUCAUCAUGGCCCUUUACGACCAGGGCUACANNCGUACUACAAAUGGGUCGGUACAGAGGGUUUGCAAUACCGCGAGGUGGAGCCAAUCCCNGAACAACCCGAUUCCCAGUACCGGAUCGGAAGUUUGCAACNANGAANUC